rnacentral:rRNA from 1 species
GUGGGGAAUCUUCCGCAAUGGACGAAAGUCUGACGGAGCAACGCCGCGUGAGUGAAGAAGGUUUUCGGAUCGUAAAGCUCUUUCGUCAGGGACGAACGUAUUUCUUGUAAAUAAUGAGAGAUAGUGACGGUACCUGAAUAAGAAGCCACGGCUAACUACGUGCCAGCAGCCGCGGUAAUACGUAGGUGGCAAGCGUUGUCCGGAAUUAUUGGGCGUAAAGCGCGCGCAGGCGGGAUAUCAAGUCUGUCUUAAAAGUGCGAGGCUCAACCUCGUGAGGGGACAGAAACUGGUAUUCUUGAGUGUCGGAGAGGAAAGUGGAAUUCCAAGUGUAGCGGUGAAAUGCGUAGAGAUUUGGAAGAACACCAGUGGCGAAGGCGACUUUCUGGACGAUGUCUGACGCUGAGGCGCGAAAGCUAGGGGAGCGAACGGGAUUAGAAACCCUUGUAGUCC